rnacentral:rRNA from 1 species
AUCAUGGCUCAGGAUGAACGCUGGCGGCGUGCCUAAUACAUGCAAGUCGAACGAACUUCCGUUAAUUGAUUAUGACGUACUUGUACUGAUUGAGAUUUUAACACGAAGUGAGUGGCGAACGGGUGAGUAACACGUGGGUAACCUGCCCAGAAGUAGGGGAUAACACCUGGAAACAGAUGCUAAUACCGUAUAACAGAGAAAACCGCAUGGUUUUCUUUUAAAAGAUGGCUCUGCUAUCACUUCUGGAUGGACCCGCGGCGUAUUAGCUAGUUGGUGAGGUAAAGGCUCACCAAGGCAGUGAUACGUAGCCGACCUGAGAGGGUAAUCGGCCACAUUGGGACUGAGACACGGCCCAGACUCCUACGGGAGGCAGCAGUAGGGAAUCUUCCACAAUGGACGCAAGUCUGAUGGAGCAACGCCGCGUGAGUGAAGAAGGGUUUCGGCUCGUAAAGCUCUGUUGUUAAAGAAGAACGUGGGUAAGAGUAACUGUUUACCCAGUGACGGUAUUUAACCAGAAAGCCACGGCUAACUACGUGCCAGCAGCCGCGGUAAUACGUAGGUGGCAAGCGUUAUCCGGAUUUAUUGGGCGUAAAGCGAGCGCAGGCGGUCUUUUAAGUCUAAUGUGAAAGCCUUCGGCUCAACCGAAGAAGUGCAUUGGAAACUGGGAGACUUGAGUGCAGAAGAGGACAGUGGAACUCCAUGUGUAGCGGUGAAAUGCGUAGAUAUAUGGAAGAACACCAGUGGCGAAGGCGGCUGUCUGGUCUGCAACUGACGCUGAG